AUUGAACGCUGGCGGCAGGCUUAACACAUGCAAGUCGAGCGAGCGGCGGACGGGUGAGUAAUGUCUGGGAAACUGCCUGCUGGAGGGGGAUCACUACUGGAAACGGUAGCUAAUACCGCAUACCCUCAGAUGUGCCCAGAUGGGAUUAGCUAUGAGGUGGGGCAAUGGCUCACCUAGGCUACGAUCCCUAGCUGGUCUGAGAGGAUGACCAGCCACACUGGAACUGAGACACGGUCCAGACUCCUACGGGAGGCAGCAUUGGGGAAUAUUGCACAAUGGGAGCAAGCCUGAUGCAGCCAUGCCGCGUGUGUGAAGAGGGCCUUCGGGUUGUAAAGCACUUUCAGCGAGGAGGCGUUACUCGCAGAAGAAGCACCGACUAACUCCGUGCCAGCAGCCGCGGUAAUUC
rnacentral:rRNA from 1 species